rnacentral:sRNA from 1 species
AGUGGAGCGAGAGUUCUGGGAAGAAGAGGAGGGAGAGUAGUAUUGGUGGUAGGGUACGCUUUUCUUUAUCUCCCGAAAAAACGAGCGAAGGUGUUGGUGAAACUUGUCACGGGACAAGUGGUGCAGCUGACCUUGAUGGUGAUAGCGGUGGCGGUAUUCGGGGGAUGAGAAAGUGGGAUGAAGGGAGACCUAUCUAUUGAUAUUGUGGGCUUUUUUUCCUUUGUUAUCAAAACCAUAUAUCUUGUAUAAUUUUCCUUGUCUAUGGUUGUCGUGUUCGACAAUAUCUAAUCUUGGGGGGAGUGGUUAUCCCGUUCUUUUUUUUUUGUUUUGAUAUUGGAACGGAACACCCUUGUUUUGUUUAGUUCUCUCUCUAUAUAUCUCUCUUUGGCUUUCUUGCCUUUCAUACUCUAGCUCUUCGAUUGGAUUGAGGACCAGCAAUUUCCUUUACUUUUUUUUUUCUUCUAUUCAUGACUGUCAUGAGCAGUGGGCUCCAGAGACAUAUUCCCUAAAAUUGAUUCAUCGACUAUUUUAUCGUCGGCUACCAGCCAUAUAUCAUUUUCAACUCAGUUCAAUUUCACUGGUU